GUCAGCCUAGCUUGAUUUGACUUGAGCAUGCGUAGGAUGGAGAGAAGACUCCUAUUAGGAAUCUUUUUCUCUCCCAAAUCUGGUGAAAACCGAGAGUCCCAGGGCAUGGCAAAUUUAGGCUAAACCCUAGGAUCUCGCCUAUAAAAAAACCUCUCUCUUCUUCCUUAUGGAUUCUAUUGCUGUAAGCCUUCGGAUUAACAUCCGUCAUCCACCGAUAUGAAGC
rnacentral:lncRNA from 1 species